rnacentral:rRNA from 1 species
GAUGAACGCUGGCGGCGUGCCUAAUACAUGCAAGUCGAACGCACAGCGAAAGGUGCUUGCACCUUUCAAGUGAGUGGCGAACGGGUGAGUAACACGUGGACAACCUGCCUCAAGGCUGGGGAUAACAUUUGGAAACAGAUGCUAAUACCGAAUAAAACUCAGUGUCGCAUGACACAAAGUUAAAAGGCGCUUUGGCGUCACCUAGAGAUGGAUCCGCGGUGCAUUAGUUAGUUGGUGGGGUAAAGGCCUACCAAGACAAUGAUGCAUAGCCGAGUUGAGAGACUGAUCGGCCACAGUGGGACUGAGACACGGCCCAAACUCCUACGGGAGGCUGCAGUAGGGAAUCUUCCACAAUGGGCGAAAGCCUGAUGGAGCAACGCCGCGUGUGUGAUGAAGGCUUUCGGGUCGUAAAGCACUGUUGUAUGGGAAGAACAGCUAGAAUAGGGAAUGAUUUUAGUUUGACGGUACCAUACCAGAAAGGGACGGCUAAAUACGUGCCAGCCGCCGCGGUAA